rnacentral:rRNA from 1 species
AAAUUGAAGAGUUUGAUCAUGGCUCAGAUUGAACGCUGGCGGCAGGCCUAACACAUGCAAGUCGAACGGUAACAGGAAGAAGCUUGCUUCUUUGCUGACGAGUGGCGGACGGGUGAGUAAUGUCUGGGAAACUGCCUGAUGGAGGGGGAUAACUACUGGAAACGGUAGCUAAUACCGCAUAACGUCGCAAGACCAAAGAGGGGGAGCUUCGG